AAUUUAGAAUAAGCUCAUUAAACGCGAGACCAACGAAAAAUGAUUUUUAGCUGACAAAUAAAACAGGGAAAAUUUAUACGAAACGCCAACGCUAGAAACAGUAUUAUCUAUACUUUUGUUAUUGAACCCAUUUGAAAGCGUAACAUAAUUACGAUGGAACAAACUAAGCAUAAUUGGAACCACUAGUGGCCCUUCAAGUCAUUGCCUUUUGACACAGUUGGAAAAGUAGGCUAGUGAGUUCCUGGUAAAAUAAGUAUCUACACCAAAGCCGACGAACCCCAACAAUAUGAACCAAAGUCGGUGGAAGAAACGUUCAUUCAUCAAAGCGUUGUUUGAAAUCAAUGAAACAUAAAGGUAAUUUAAAAUUCAGGAAAAAGAAACAUAAAGUGUGAAAAAGGUUUGGCCUACAUAUGUACAUUUAUAUUAUGUAUACAAAUAUGUAUAUAUACAUAUACAUUAUCGUUGUCAUUGAAAUAAAUUCGCAAAUUUACACCACAUAAGGGAAACAAUUCAAAUAUUUCGUUCAGUAUCCAAUCUGUGAUUUUUUUGCUCUAAAUCAAUCCCGUGUUCAAAAUUUUCAAUGUACAAAACGUGUACAAAAUUUUAUAUUCUUCAAUUUUGUACACGUACUUUUCUCCUCAAGAUGCUGCUCAUUUGUUGAAUCCGAUAUGGAACUAUUAUAGCAUAUAGCUGCCAUACAAACUGAACGAUCUGAAUAAAGUUCUUAUAUGGAAAACUGUUUUAUUUAACAUGAAUAAAUAUCACUCAAUUGGGCAUGUUUUAUUGAUCAGGGACACGCUGAAAUCUCCGAAGAAAUUGUUCGGAUCGAACUACUAUAGCAUAACGCAUCAAU
rnacentral:lncRNA from 1 species